UAGCCUCUAACUUAUCUGCCUGCUGUCGCUUGACAUGGACCGGACAUCUUCAAAUCUUGAGAUACCUAAGAGCUGGCUUCUUACCAUACCAUAACUCAUAUGGAGUAAUAGGAACGGAUUUAAAGGGAACCUGAUUCAAAAGAUGAAUUGCAGAAAGUAAUGCAUGUCCCCAGAGAAAUACAGAAAGAUCUGUGAAGCUCAUCAUGGAUCGGACUAUAUCUAAUANNNNNNNNNNNNNNNNNNNNUCCCUGAAGGUAUCCACUAUGAGACUAUACCAUUAUUCUUAAGAUAGAUCCAAAAUUUUUUACUAAGAUAUUUUUUUCCUCGAUCUGAUCAAAGAACCUUUAUAGAUUUUCUAAUUUAUUUUUUUACUUCAUAUCUAAAUUCUAUGAACUUUUCAAAGGCUUCAAAAUUUCGAUACAUCAAAUAUACAAAACUAUACCAUGAAUAAUCAUCGAUAAAAGUUAUGAAGUAGACAUAGCCACUCCUGAUUUGUACAUCGAAUGAAUCACAUACGUCAGUGUGUACCAGGACUAAUAUCUCAGUGGCCUUUUUUCUUGUCUCAUAAAGGAUAGCUUAGUCUUUUUUUUUUUGAAGAUAGGACUCACAAAUCGGAUAAGACUCAAAAGUCAAUGACCCAAGAAGAUCAUCUUUCUUCAGUUUGUUGAGUCUGUCCUCUCUUAUAUGGUCUAACCUAAGGUGCCAUAGAUACUUUUGGUUAAUCGUAUCUCUAAGUCUCUUAGAUCCUACGACAUUCACAGUUUGCUCAUUAAUAUUAACACUUGCAUCCAUAUGUAAAUGAUAAAGAUCAUCGAUCAAGAAAGCAUAUGUAACAACUUUAUUUUCAAAAUAAAUUACACACAUAUCUUUAUUGAAAUAAAAAUUAUAGUUAUCCUAUGCCAGUAUAGAUAUGAAAAUUAAAUUCCUACUGGCUAUAGGUACAUAAUAGCAGUCUUUCAAAACUAAACUAAUCCCUAAUGAUAAUCGUAGAGGGUAGGUUUCAACAGUUACAACAGCAACUCUUGCUCCAUUACUGAUUUGGAGAGUGAUUUCGCCUUUUCUCAGCUCUCUAACUUUUUCAAGACCUUACAUAGAAGUGCAUAAAUGAGCACUUGAACCAGAAUUUGAAAUCCAACUAGAAGAAAAGAAAAUCGUUAAAUUAGUUUCAAUUAUGAGUAGGUCAGACGUACUUUCAGAAGGUCCAUCCUUCUUCUUGUUCUUUACAGUCGCCAGAUAGGCUGGACAGUUUCUUCUCAAUAGCCUUCAAUAUUGCAAUGAAAAUAUUUUUCUUUGUCGUCUGUCUUCUUCGGAACCUACUUUUUGAGUUUGGUCUCAUUCUUUUAGUUCUUCACAAGCUUCUUCUUUUUCUUGAAAGAAGACUUUCUCUUAGAGGAAGUCCGCUCUACAGUCAGAACCGUACCCCUUGAACUUUUCAAGGUGCCCUCAGCUGUCACCAAUAUAUUCAGCAAUUCGGAUAAAGUGCUAUCAAUCUUAAUUAUAUGGUAGUUCAUAAUGAACUGUUUAUAUGAAUCAAGAAGAGAUUGAAAGAUCAAAUUCACCUGCAAUUCUUUAUCCAUAUUCAUCUCGAGCUUCUGAAGCCCUUCGAUGUCCUUGAUCAUUAUCAAACAAUGAUCAUUGACAGACUGUCCAUCAUGCAUUUUUACUCUAAAUAGUCUCUAAGAGAUCUCAAAGUGAGCUGUGUGAUUUGCUCACCAUACAACUCUUGCAGAUAGUCAGUAUCUCCUUGACAGUCCUCAUAUCUUCAUGCUGUCGUUGAAGAUCAUGGGAUAUGGACGCUAGAAUGUAACAUUUCAUCUUAUUGUCCUCAUCCACCUACUUUUCAAGUAUGGCUCGUUGAUUAGGGGAUGGACGAGCUGGUAAUAUGGGUGCAUCCUGAUCUACGACAUGGGUUAGUUUUUUAAAACUGAGAAUAAUUUUUAAAUUUCGAAGUCAGUCUUUGUAGUUCGUUUCAAUCAACCUAUUUGUAUCAAAGAUACGAACUAAGGGGUUGGCACUCGACAUGAUUAUCUGCAGAGAGAAUAAUUUUUAGUUAGAUAUUUAUACUUAUUAAAUAUUUAUUCUAAAAAUUUUAAAAACAAACAAAGGUUCUCACUAUUUUUUUGAAUCUCCCACACUCCUCGGAUGGAGAAAAAAAUAUAUAUGCGAUCGAUUUCUAGUGGAUACUGUGGUCCCAUUGAUCAAUAUGCAUCUCAUCUAACAAUUAUUGAUGAGCAUAGAUCAAUAAGUGGAUAACACCUUGUCCAUUGCUUCACUAAGCAAGAUGCAGCGGGUUUGGUCUCUAAGUCUUGUGGCUUCACCUAACAGUUAUUGACAUAUUUCUUAGUUAAGUCAAAUUCAUCGUUCACCAGCAGACGCAAAACCAUCAUUGAGACCCUCACCUAACAGUUAUUGGACCCAAUCCCAUCUCUAUCCCGAAGCAUCAAAUAUCAAUAAAGUGGUUAUAUUUUUCUGAUGCAAUCGAACCAUUAUAACCAGUCGAGAACGAUCAAUGUCAGGAAGGCACCCGUAUCUUUACAAUGAUAGAAGACCUUUAGACUUAAUAUUUAGUGAGAAAAUUUAGGUUUAGAUCUCUUUUAAAUCAGCAAAUAUAACAUCCGACUAAUCAAGUUCAGAUUAGCACAUCUGUAUGUCUGACCUACCUAGUUGAUAUGGAUGAACAUGAGUCAACAAGUAACUUAACACGAAACUGAAUCUCCUAAAAUGGCCAAGUAAGUUAAGAUGAGUGAGGGUCCCCCCAUUGCUUUCUUUAAACACCAACAAAUUGACUAGAUCAGACAACAAAACUAAUUAAAUAACCACCAUCUAGAUACUUAUCUUAGAUACCAAAUUGAUCGAUUAAAAUCGAUCCAGUUAAUCUAUUGAAAUGGACUCAAACCACUGAGCUAAAUUUGAUCUUGAGUCAAUCAAUUCACAUCAAAAUAUGAAUCGAUGAGACUAACUACAACUAAACUCAACUUUGAGUCUUUUUGACCGAAUUCUAACCAACAAUUGAUUAUGUUCAAUCAACUGCUCAAAAUCAACAAUGGAUUCUAGCUUGAUCCAAUCAAUUGACCCUAAUUAUAGUUUGAUCAUUAGACUUAAUUUGUUCAACCUAUACCCACAUGCAAUAACAUAAUUUUUAGAUUUUAAAAAUAUUUUUUAGAUUAUGUUUCAUUACAUGCAUUAGUAGCUUAUGAUCUGGAAACAGUUUUACAUCUAAACCUAAUGUUAUAUAUCACAUAUAUCAAGUUUUAGAUCUAAACUUUAAACAUAUAUCACAUAUAUAUUAAAUUACAGAUCUAAAAUAAGAAUUACACAUAUCAAAUAUAUAUAUAAUUAGAUCUAAGAUAAUGAUUAAAAUAUUUUAAAAAUAGUUUUCAAAAAAUCGAUUCGCAUCAAACUUGCAUAACCUUUUCAAUAUAGGAGAUAAACCCUAUACUAGGACAAUCUUAUAUCAGUCCGAUGCGAAUUUUUAAUCAUUCUAAUUUUAGAUCUAACAUGAAUAAAGAUAUAUCAUAUAUAUUAAUUUUUAGAUCUAAAAAAUUAAUUUAAAUAUUUCAAAAAUAGUUCUCAAAAUUGAUCAAUCUUGUGCUAGGACAAUCUUUUCAAUAUAGAGGAUAAAUCCUAUACUAGGAUAACCUUACACCAGCACAAGAUCGAUUUUAGAUCAUUUAAACUUUCAGAUUUAAGAUUAAAAAUUAGAUUAUACAUAUCUUAAAAAAUCAGUGGCUCUGAUACCACUAUUAGAAAAUUGGAUUAGAUUGCAUGCAUAGAUUUCAAAAUCUUUUUGAAGUAGUAGCAGAAACGAUUUAGGUUAAAUCCUUUAACCCAACAUGCAAUAGAUCUAAUCUAUAUCUAUCUGAGUCUUGAAUCUAAAAUAUGCAUAUAAUCUAAAAAUUAAAAUAAAAUUAAGAUUGGAUCUCAAUACCUUACGCGAGUUAAAAUUCACCGCAAUCGAUGAUCUUAGAUCUGAAGGUUCCUAAGCUACACACAUAUCCUACCUCUACAGGUAUCCACUGAAAUCAAUCUUAAAUUUUUUUCUCAUUGUAGAUCUUUCUUUUUCAAGGAGGAUCUCAGUCUUUUGAACUUUAGAUCAAUUAUUGAUCUCUGACUGUAGUGUCAACACUUGAACUGUAGUCUUUCUCCCUUUUACUUGAUGUAGAAGAACACACCCUUCACCUUGGACGUGUGGAAAAAUGGGAUGCCCAACACCUGAGCAUUGAAAAGAGAGGAAGAAAGGGUGGCAUGGAGAAGGAGAGGAGGAGGUUUUGAAUCUUAAAAUUUAUUUUUUUAAACCCUAAGAGACCAUCUCCUUAAAUGGGCCUUUCUUGAUUCUAAAUUGUUAUCCAAUCAAACUAAAAAUGUUGGAUCUUAUCUCAUAAGCUCUCUUACCUUUUAAUCUAAUUUUUUUUUUAAAAAAAUCAGACCUAAUUGGAAAGGUCCUUACCUCAAAAGUCAAAUGGAUGUGGCACCUUCAUCUUAUAAAGCAAGAUGAGUGGUGCCACUUGAUUUAUUAGGCAGGUAGUUGGGAUGCCAACUCUUGGCACCCUCUUAGGAUUUUAUGCUCAUGAGAGGUGGCAUGGCCCCUCUCUCUCGUGGCGUGGCCCCUCCUCUCUCUCUCCUUCCACACCAAAGCAAAAGAGAAGGUGGGCCCCUCUCUCUAUCUCAUGCCCUCUCAAGGGAUGGCGCCUCUUGGAGUUUCCAAAAAAAGGAGCAUGCACAAUCUCUUCUUUUCAAUUAAUCCUUAUCUUAUUAAGAAAUAACAAGAAAGAAAAUAAGAGGAUUAGUUUGCUGACUCAUUGACUUGAUCUAAUCCUUUUGGGCCUUUAAAUAGGUGUCCAGCUAAAUUUAAAUCAGAAUAGAUUAGGUUUAAGAUUAUGGACUUGAUCCAAUCCUUAUCUAAUAAAAAAUCGAAGUCCAGAGAAGAAUUAUGUUUAACCAUGCGCUAGCAUGGCUCUCAUAAACCCAAUAGGAUUUCACUAAAUCUUUAUCCAAUUAGAACUUUAUAAGCCUAAUUAAUUAAUUCAAGAUUAAAUCUCUUAAUGUGUGACCCCAUAGGUUCCAUUCUAUCCGAUAGUGAGAUACAUUAUGAUCUCCAUCAUAAUAUCAUUGAAAUUUUUUUCAAUGGAUUAGAACAGUUCUAGCUCUAUCCUUUGAGGGUCAUCAAUCAUCAAGAUGACACUCGAUGAGUUUCACAAUCUACCAGUGACAUCUAGCAAUAUGUAGUGGCAACCCAGUAGAAUGAAAGUGUGAACCCCUAGGUACAGUUAUCAUAUAAUUCAAUCCUUCUAUCAUAAGUCCUGACUUGAUGGAAAUCUUAGAGAACUCGUUAGAUCCCAUCAUCUGUCAUAUGCUAGAUUGGCUCGAUUUGAGUUCACUUGUGAAUCCUAUGAAAUUUUUUUUUCAGUAUUCACACUUGCUUUGAUCAAAAACUUUUUAAAUUCAGUCUCGCAAAUCGUAUAGGACUUUUUCUUUUCUACCAAGAUCGAUAGAUUCUUUCUAAGUACAUCCUACUUCAAACAACGAAUUUGAAUCUACUGUAGCCAACAUACAUAGCAAAGAUCCGAAUAAUUAGGGACCAAAAAAAUAUAUAGCCAAACUCAAUAGCCUCGUUAUGAAUAGCCGAUGACACAGUAAGUUAAAAGAUCACUCACACUACUGCAACAUCGAGAUAACCACUGAUGAGUAAGCAAAUAUCCAAGUAAUUUCUCAUGUUGAUCAUGCUCAAUGCAAAUUAUUCUCUAACAACCACCCACACUCUUAUCCCACUGAUGAGUAAGCAAAUAUCCGAGACUCAUCUGUCCAUAAAAGAGGUGAACAGUGCAUCGAUCUUAAAUGGAUUGAUCACUAUCUUCCAUGACGAUCCUUUGAUUGGGAGCAUUUAAAAACUAACCACUAAUUAAUGUAUGUCUCAAAUUCUCAACACCUUGAGAAUAUAUAAAAAAUAUUUUUAUUAAUUUUUAGGAUAAAUCAUGGACACAUAAAAAUGAUUAAAAAAAAGCUCUUUAUUAAUAUAAAAAAUAUUAUAAAUACAAAAUUAAAUCUAAGAAUUACAAAAUGUGUCAGCCAACAAUUGACUUCUAGAGCACUCAUCUAACAGAAGAUACCUCAAUAGCCAUCGAUUCUCCAUCCGAUAGUCCCUUGACAAUCGUAGGUUCAGAAAGGACAGUUUUCUCUGUAGCUUCUUCCUCAUCCUCAUCCAGAAAAGAGAGGUCCACCGCAGGGAGUCGAGCAGCGACUAGACAUCGACAAUCCUCAAAUCCACUCCCCAAGCCGAUAAUGAAGGCCUUUUGACUGAAUGCAACUUUCAUAUCUUCGAAUUCCUCAAAAAUUUUAAAUGUCUCCAUUGCAAGACGGCCGGCCUUAGCAACCCACUCGUCAGUCCUCUUUUUGACCUCAAUGGCUUUUGAGGCCAUCUUAUGUUGCCUCUCCUUCUCGGAGACCAAUUCAGCUUCCAUUUUUCUUAAAGCUUCAGCAGAGGCAUUCGCCCUCUUCUCUGCCUUGGCAGCCUGAGACUCGGCCUUCUGCAGCUCCUCCUCUUUGCAAGCAAGAUCGACGCCCGCCUUGCCCAGUGCCUCCUUAAGGCGCCCGACUUCUACCUCCAUCAUCUCAGCCUGAGCGUGAAUCCUGUCCGCUCUCCCCACAUAGUUUGAUAGCUCAGUGAGGAAGUGAAACAUCUGCAUGGAGAUCAUGUAACAAGAUGGGGAGAAGAAAGAAGGAAUUAGAAAAGAAAAGUAUAGUGACGGUACUUGAUGGAGGGAGGUCACGGCUUGCCUCCAUAGAUUAACAAAGUUUUACCCGUUGAGCUCUUCUUGGUUCGUAGGAAGGAGCAUAUCUUCCAUCAGUCUCUGAACAAGUUUUUAGUUGUCAAAAGUGGCAUCCCCAAGAAUGUCGUGCAGGUGGACACCACCGUUGGAUGGCUUCUCUAUGAAAACUGGCAUGCUGGGACCUACCACUGAAGAUGAGAAUCUUUCUCUCCUAUGAGCAGGAGAAUCUGGAACGAAAGUCGGAGCUACCUGAGGAAUACUUGACUGAACGAAAGGGGAGACUUCAACCGAACAAGGCAUGCUCAGUUGAGCAGGAGGUGUGAACACAAUGGUGCCCUCGGUCGGAAGGGCUCGCUCGCUGGGGCUCUGCAUGACUAACCUCGAUGGUCUUCGCCCUCUUCGAAGAACCCUCGACAGUUGAAGCUCCCCUCUUCUUAGGGACACUCUUUCUCAAUUUGAUGAGGGUUUUGGGCUUCAUGUCUGUAGUAACACAAUAAGAGUCUGAAAUGCAGAAGGAAAAAAAAAUUAUAAUUUUCUACUCACCCCUAGGGUCGAUUGGGCUAAGCCUUGCAUAAUAUAGGGCUUCUUCAGACAACAGCUUCCCUAGGGGAAGAACUUUGAAGUCUCAAAGGACUUUAAAGUAACCUUCCUCCUCAGCCUCUAGCCUUGGAAUGUUAUUGACUGAGGCCUCCGGUCAACCCCAGUUCGACAAGUUCCAACUGCCAGAUGAUGAGCAAGAAAUGAAAAGAAAGCAUCCAUUCCACCCAUGAAUUGAAGAGCGAGUGCCUAUAAUCAGAGGAGAAACUCUCCUCUGAGUUAGAAUGUACCAUCAAUUUUUGAUAUAUGGAUGCCUCUUGAUGGUAAAGAAAGUUCGAAAAAGUAGAAUAGAGGCCUGAAUGUUUGCCAUGGCAUAGACAACUCAAAAACUGAUGACAAAAUGAAAAGAAUUUGGAACAAGCGUGUAGAGAGGAAUACAAUAAAAUUGGAAGAGGUUGAGAAUAAAGAGAGGAAUGAAAAAUCACAGACCAGCAUGGCAUACCUCUUCGUACACUACUAACCAAUCGAGUGGCAAAUCGUUUACCUAUCCAAUGGUCUCAGGAAGCUCCAAAUCAAACUCCAUCGGAAUCCUAUAUGAGGCUUGGAUCCAAACCAAGUCUUCCAACCUUAGCACGAAGCCCAAAUCAUCAGGUUCGGAAGCUGAAUCGAUCUUGAAACCCUUGCAUUUUCUGAUAGGAUUUUCAGGACUCACCCUCGAAGAGGUUGAUCAUUCUCUGACUGAAUCAACAGAUCCCACCAUUAGGGAAGUUCGAUGGAAAGACCAGGAUCGAAAGAAAAAAAAGAAACAAAUGUGGAAAUCGAUGGGCGAGAAAGAACGACCAAAGAAAAUCCAUCUGGAUAGAAGGAAGAAAGCUGGAGAGACAACCGGAGAUGGCAAGGAGAACUCCUACACAACCCCUUGAAAACGUCACAGCAAAGGGAGGACCCAGAUGGAGCAAACCUAGCGCGAUGGCGAUCGAGGGAAGAAAAAUCGAAAGAAGAGGGGGAGGCUCGAAAGAUUGCUAGAAAGCGCAAGAAGGAAGGAAAGUGGUAUGGCUUUAUAGCCAAAAAAGGACAGCUCCAAAAGAUCGCGAAUCAUCACCAUCAAAUGAACAGUUCACAUGUGGUAUCUUUCCAUCGAUCGGCUUUCACCAUCAGUCAUCAGGAUUAAUGCAUCAUGCUGAAAAAGGCACCUAUCGAAAUUUAAGUCAAAAACCUAUAUUUCAGCUAUGAUUACCUACCCAGGCCCCUUCGCAUCCGCUCUGAGAAUCGUGCGUGCCUUUUUGACUCAGAUUUUUCACAUCUUUGACGCUAGGGAUCAGCAAUACUCUCUUCUCCCAACCAAAGCUCGGAUUCGGUAGUAGGAGGGCAUGUGUUGGGGGAGAAUUUGUACAGGCCGAAAAUGCGAAGAAGCCCAAGGCUCAAAAUAGCCAGACCCAAUUUUUGGAAAGGCGAAGCCAUGGCCUACUCAUGAUCAGCCUCCAUUUGAGUCAAGCCACAGCUAACCUUCGACUCACAUUGCCUAAGCGGAAGCUGAUGCCGAGGGUUCGUCAGCAUAACCUGACAAAUCUUAUUCGGACUCGUCGGCAGCCCCCUGGUGGUCUACCCAUUGGUACCGGCAUCCAGAGCUACCUGCGAACGAUACGGAUCGACUGGGCAUCUAUUCAUAGCCAGUAGUUUCUAACCGAACAAGCAUCGACAGCGAACAAAUCUCACGCUUAGCGAUCAGCCUGACUCUCAACCAAGGACGAUUUUUUCAAGAGAAUGGUUGCAACAUCUGAUCCUUUGUCGGCCCAUCCAACAACAACGACUUACCCAAUAACCUCCUCAAUGGCUAUCGACGCCCCUCCACCGACAGAUCGUUGCUGAUGUUCCCCCGAAUGUCACUGACGAGGUCUCGGAUCAACUUGGUUGAUUUAAAUGCCCCGAUCAAUUGGAUCACCUGAGCAACCAGACUAUAUCCUAAUAAAUUAUCAGAACAUGGCGAACAGAAUAUCCUGACAAGCUUUCGAAAUGUGGCCAUGUGGCAUAACAGCCAUCCAUGGCUAACAACUUGGUGAAUGGGCGGACAACAGGUAGCCUAUCCUGACGGCUUAUAAGCAUAGGCCUAACAAUCUCUAGACUCCAUCUAUAAGAAGUCGCAAAAAGGGAAUCUCAAGGUAAGCCAUUACUCUGUCUCUUAUGCUCCUUUUUUUGUUGAAUGAGAUACUGAUUUGAGCGUCGGAAGAUCUCCAUCGAAACCACCUCCGCUCGAGGUUUUUCUUACAGGUCGUGCCUCUGGAAGAUCGAUCUCGACUGUCCGCACUAGCUUGUCCGACGCCUGCCGAUGUCUCGCUCCAAUAGAAGAUAUCUUUACCUUAAUCAUCUCAUAAUAAAAAAAUAAAAAAGUCAAUAAUGCAUAAACCUUAUCCGUUCUAAAGGGUUACAUCUGGGAAAUUAGAUUGAACUGUUUACGAGCUAACUUCGGCCCAUUUGGAGGCUUACACGUGGGAAAUUUGAUUGGAUUGUGCCUGGGCUAAUAUGUCAAUAUGACAACCAACACAUUUCCAAAUUUGACCAGGUCCCAAAAAUUGAGAUUCAAUCUUAUCAUGUAAAGAGAUAACUGCCACCGCUAUCUGGCAACAUGUCUUGAAGCUUUCAGAAAUGUCCAUCAAAGUGCAAUCAACAACAAUUCCAAAUUGCUGGUCUUUGGCUACACGCUUCUCUAGUUGUGAUUUAAAAAAAAAAGGACUUGUAUGGCUGUCUCAGCACCAUGGCAUCUAAGAACAGAUCACUCGAUCUUCGUUCCACUAGAAAACAACCACUUUCUUCAACAUUACCAUGCCAUGUGUAUCUCGUGACUCGAAUUCACGGUCAAAAUCUUAUCCAUUCCAGCAAAGGCGAUGAUGUGAGGGUGAAAAGAGGCUGCACCAGAAGUCCAUCAUGCCACCGCCACCUCUCACCUGUGAUCCACCGUUUCCCCAUCCCGAGGGCUCCACCACGUGGCACGACUCAAGCCACCUCCUCCUUCCAGCUGACGUGGCAAAUCCUCGGCCGCUAGUGUCUCCCCGAUCUGGUACCCCUCCACGUAAUCUAUCCUGGAUUUUAUCCGCAUCCAGGAUUUCCCCUGCCACGUAUUCGCUCCAAGAGGAGAUGCCACGUGGCUGGCAACGUCGACGUGACUCAGCGAUGGCCAUCGUGGUACGGGCUGAUAGGAGAUGGGCCAGGUACAGCCAACGGGACGACUCUUGUCGCCUUGUCGCUCACCGCUAGAAUGCCACGUCAUCGCUAAGUCUUCGUUCACCCCGAAAAGCGCCCGCUUUCAAGCAAAAGCCUUUUUCGUUAAAUUACUUUACUGCCCCUGAUCUUGCGUUAGCAUUACCUAUAAGAAAGGGGUCUCUCUGUAAUUUGGCGUAAAGAUUGAUAAUAUGAUGGUCUUUUCACUGAUAACUCGGGAACCGGGAGGACCGACGCCGGUGAGUCUGCGUAGCUAUUUUAUUUAUCCAACCAAGAAAUUUAAAGCCACUCCUCUGGAUCAGCUACUCAGCCAACCCAAAGGCCCACCGUAAAAAUCAAAUAAAAGUUCGACACGUAAAACAAAAAAACCCAAAUUCGAAAUACGUGGCACAUAAUAACCGGUCAAUGUACUAAAUUAGCGAGGGAGUUUUCUGCGGAUCACGUGACUAGGUGACGGAGUGGAGCGUGAACAAUUGCCGUGUCUCCACUCUCCAGUCGAAAGUUUGAACGAAAGAAUUCUAGAUUUCCGCCGCGAUCUAAGCUACCAAAAUAUAGCCUAAUCGCGAUCCACCACCGAACGGCCAGAAACCGCGCCACGUGUCAGGCCUGCUAGGACCAGCCCCGGCAGAAGGUGAUUACACGAUUUACACCUCCACAGCCGCGGGCCCCACUCUCGCCUCACCUGUAUGGUUGGCGACGCCACCCUAGCGCGGGCCCCGCCCCCUACCCCGUCCGCCUCAUCUCCAACACCUCCUUCAGCAGUAGAGCUUUCGGAGGGCGGUCGCCCCAAAACCGCUUAACCACCGAGCAGAUUGGCGUGACACGAACCCGUCGCUUUCGUUUUCAGAUGCUCGACCUUUAACAUCCCUCCGGGUUUGGCCGCUGGGAGUAUUCUCUUCUCCUUUCCCUCCCAUUUCGCCCCCAAAGAUCGCUGCUUUAAAGCUCCCCGCUCCCCCCAACUACUUCUCCGUUCAGGACUCCUUUCUUCUACCGACUCGAUAAACCUAGGGUUUUUUUCUCCCCUCUUGCUCUUCUCGUUUCUUCUCUUCUUGGGAUGAGAGAUGGCGGCGAGGUCGAGAGGCCUGGGAGCACCGCCAUGCGGCCUUAAGAUCAGGUGGAUCUCGGCGUCUCCUCUACCGCGGCCGCUCCAUGGACUGGCAUUCAGAAGGGAAUGGCUGGGAGGAGGGGCUCGGUGCUGCUGCGGCGAUGCCGAGUUCCGGAAGCUUGGAAAGGGGACGAAUGCAGCCGCCGAGAAGGCCGAGGUGCGGUGGCUUGAGCCGAGGAAGAGCUGCCGGAGAGUCUGCGUGAAAGCGUUGCCCGCCGUUCCCUUCCCUUCGCCUCGGUAUGCAUCGAUACUUCUUUGAUCUGAUUGGUUUUCUGCUUGGGAUGCUGGAAUCACCAUACUUUAAUAAAUUUUGGAUCUUUGAAAUUUAAAAGCCUUCGCCUUGUCUGAGUUAUUUGGUUCAUUGUCCUGUUUAGUGAGGUGUCAAUAUCCUGACAAAAAGUUGUUCGUAAUAAUUAUAGACUAAUUGGUCUUUUUCUGUAUGGCGUCCCUUGUGGUUAUUGUUUUGGGUCAAAUUGGCUGGAUUGAGAUGUUCUGGGAACUGAAUUGUUCCUCUAAAAGUUCAUGCUUAGUUUGGUUGGAUCGAAGUUUCAAUCUAUGAAAUAUUAGUGUAAUAUGCCUGUGUGUUGAUUAUUAAGGCUGUAUUCUUAAUGACUAAACGGAUUGGUAACAGUAGAUACAGUGGUAAACUGCAAGCUUUGUAGGCUCGAUGCUAAGAUUUGGGUACCCUCUGUUUUUGUAGUUUUCAGUAUGACUCAGAAUUCAUGGGAUCAUAGACAGGUUGCAAAAGUCUAUGCUUUUUUUCUCCUUACCUAUUAUUAGUGCCUCAGUUGUUUCAUCUACUUUAUCUAUUUUCUUCUGCUAAUGUAAAUAUAUCAGCAGGCAAGGUUGUCAUAUCAAUGGGCUUGCUUGGAUUUAUGAUUCUACUUAAGCGUGGAGAUUGAUAUGGAUGCCUUAAAAGACAAUAACCCAUUUUCUCAUUCAAGCCUGUCAGUGACGCAUUUGCAAGACGCACUAGAGGAAAACUUAUACAUUUAUAAAAAGUAAAAAAAAAAAAGAAGGAAUACAUUAAGCCAUAUCUGAAAUAAAAGAAAGAUAGAAUUCUUGGCUCCACCCUUGCCAUUAGUCCAUAUGGCUAUCCUUGACAAGGUAGUGGCAUGGUUACCAACGGAUCAGCUGGUUGGUUGCAUAAUUUUACCCUUUCCUUUUGUUUUUGUUUUUGUUUUUUUUUUCAAGUAAAUCCUUCCCUCUUGUUCAUGUGAUGAUCUUGCAAAUUGCAUUUCAACCCACACUUGCUGAGCAUGGAGGAUUUGAGUGGCAUAAUGGAAUGCUUCAUAUGCUCCUCUAAACUCUAUUACAGGUACCAACUGCCAUGGCUGUUGUCAUAUGCAAAACUCCUAUUGGAUGAAUGUACUUGGCAUAGUCCUGCAUAAUAAACCUGGUUCUAGUUUUAUUGUCAUGCUUUGAACUAUGGGACUUCACCCUAAGAGCAUAAGGGUGUGUGAUAUUAGUGUCACAAAGAAUGUUUCCUUAGCUUAAAGCCUUAAGCACCAAUGCAACGCCCUAUCAUGCUCCACAAUAAGGCAAGCCCUCUUGAGUCCAUCCGUAUAUAGCAUGCAGCCUAGGAAGCGCAAAUACUUCAUAUGCCAUGCUUGUAUAAUAUCAAAUACUCAUGUUUGUAGGAUACUUCUAGGAUAUGUGUUUGAUACUUGUAAAGUAACCUUUUUCUCCAAGUUAGAAAAACACUCCGGAUACUUUCAGGAUACACUUGAGGUAUUUCCUUGAUACAUCCAGAUAUGGGGUGUAGGAUGGUUGCUUUCUUUUCAUAAUGUUAAGUCCUCUAAUGAUGAAUGUUAAAUUUUUUGAUUUAUGAUGCUAAUAUUAACAUAUGGAGUCAUAGAAGUUCAUUCUAUCAUCCAAAGUAUGGACUGUUACACACACAGACACACACAUAUGUAUAUAUGGCAAAUCCUAGCUAUGCCAUGUCCUCCCUUUCUAGGGUUUGGUAUUUGCAUAUACUUAUCAUGUUGUAUCAUGUCGUAACUCAUAUUCGUAUCUCAUAUUUAUGCACAUUGCCCAUGCUUCAUAGUAGGCAACAAUCCACCUACAACCAAACGUGCACCUUUGUGCUCACUACCUGAUGUCUCUAGCAAACCAAACUCUAGUAACAUCCCUGAAUGUUUUAAGCAACUUGACCCAUGAGAACCACAGUGCCCAUGUGUACCUCCAAACAGUUAUUAAGCCAGGACUGAUAUGAUUGGUUAGAUCGGAAAAAUGGUGAAAUGGACUGUCUAGUUUUGUAGUGGGAUUGGAAAUGCAUUUGGCCUGAUCAAAAAAUUUUUGAGACUGUGGGUUUUUGGGAAGAAAAACAGGUGAUUGGGUGGGCAAAAAUUGAGUAAACUGGGUUCAUUAAGUUCAAAAAGUAGUGCUGAAUCUAGGAUUUGAAUAUUGAUGUCUGAAACUGAGUCAAGCCUCUUAACCACUAUGUUAUCGCUUAUCAUCUUUUCGUAUGCUUUAUUAUACUCAUUACAUGUCAUUUGUUGAAGCUAUUUUACAUAAAUUUUGAUAUUUCAUGAUCAUAUAUUUCCAUAGAAAAACAUUAUCAAUUCUUUUCCUUUGCUUUGAAAUGAAAUAUAUAUACUCAAUUUAUUUUUUUGGAUAUUCUUAAAACUUUAUAAGGUUAAAAAUCAAGAAACUAAGAAUUAUAAGUUCUAAACAUCCACAUAUUUUCCUACAUUAUGUACAAUUUCUAAAUUCUCAGAAAAAUUAAACAAUACAUGAUUGACUUCUAUUUUUGUUGUAACUAAAGAGUAGCAUAGAAUGCUAACUCAUGUAGUUUAUGAAGUAAUUGUUAAAUGGAAAAUUUGUCAACAUUUGUACAUUUUUUUGUUAUAUUAAUUUUAAUUUUAUAUAUUUUUUUAAAGAUUUAAAUAUGUUUUCUAAUGUAUACUUGAUCCGACAGACUGAUUCGGUGGUCGGACUAGUCACCUAGCGACUUAAAUCCUUGGCUAGGUUAUUUUCUAUUUCAGGUUUAAUAGCUAUGCCUCCAUGCUGUUGAAUAGCUUUCCCCAAGAGUACUCCAUAACCAAGUUCCUUGGUGCUAUCUUAAAAUCUUUUUGCUUAGCCAAGUACUGCCCAUUUGGACACCUCUUUACCCAAACCCAGUAGAAUAACUCCUUGCCACAAUUUGAUCAAUGUGCCUCUAAUUGGUAAGUCUACUUUGCACGCUUUGGAGAUUCAUAGAUCGGACCUUCAAUGAAUAACCCUACAACAUCAAAGCAUUUCACAAGGUUUCUACAAAGCUAGAUUCCCCAACUUGCAAAGCAUGCUGCCAAGCGCUUAUUCCCUGCAACUCCUUGAAGCCCUAUACUACUGUGCAUGUGUGAGAUUAACUUGUCCUUAAGCCGUUGUGCCACAAUCCCAAUCUUGUGUCCUUGACAUGCCCCCAUCCAUGACUCGACCACUUAACACUAUGUAUAUCUAUGUUCAUGGCUUGUUCAUACAACAUAGCACACUGACCUGGAAUUUGUGACCAUGUCCACCCAUUGAGUAAAUGUCCAUCAAUUGAUAACAUCUCUGUGCAACCAUUUGUCCAAUCCAGGGUCUAACUCCAAGGCACUAUAUCCUGAUGGUGACAUCUCAAUAGCCAAUUAAGCCACUCUUUUGCUUUAUAGUUGAUUGGCUUCCAUAGUUCUUUGCAUGGCUUUGAAAUGCCUCACAAUGCCUUAUGAGACUUUGUUAUAAGUUAGUCAAACCUUUGCUUUGGUGUCCCAUACCAUUUAUAUGCUAUAUGAAAGAGAUAUGACAUGCAUAGUCUAGAUAAUUAUUCAAGGAAAAACCAUGAACAAGACCCCUUUGCAUUAUAUGGUCAAUCAAAGUUUCUGGAACCAAUACCAAGUGCUGUAUCAUUCAGGAACCAAAUCAGUAUGAUCGUUAAGGUGCCAAUACCCACAACCACAAAUCGAGAGAGGAAGAGGGAGAGUGACAGGGUGUACUUGGGGUGGUGGUGGACAAGGCGGAGCCAGUGGAGGAUGUCAAGGAGGGUGGUGCUUGGAGAGGGCUUCUAUAGUGUACACCGAGGAUGGUGAUUGGUUAGGGUGAUCAUGCUAGGGUGAUCAAUGGGGAAGAUUGGUGGCGGUGACCAAUGAGGGAGAUUGACCAGAGAGAUCUGCGGUGAGCCAUCAGAGGAGAUUGAGCACAGAGAUGGGAGAAAGAGAGAUUGAGAGACAGGAUCGAUAAUUGAGGGGAGGGGAAGGGGGGGGAUGAGGUAUUAUAUAGAAUCAGUCUGUUCAGCUCAGCUAAACUAGUCAAUACUGCUUGAAUGGGCACUUCCACCUUGGUUGGACUGAUUUUGACUGGUUUGUGUGUUGCCUUGAGCUGACACACAGAACCAUCCUUGUUCUACACUAGUGUAGUGCGACACACCCCGAACUCGGUCGUUUAUGAUGUUUUCACCUUCCUUGUGGCCUGCUUAUCCAACCAAUAUCAUUUUAGACAUCUCCAUGCAAGAAUGCCCACCUUGCCCCAAAAUCAGGCCAUGUUAGACCUUUUCUUUUGGGACCUAGGGGAGUAGGAGCCCCUUCCAUCGUCUUCUCAAAUAUCUAAGGUUUUCUUGAGUUUCCAAUAUAUAUGAUAUAUCAUGGCAGUUUGUCAUGACUCUCCAAAACAAGCUACACAAGUUCCUCAACAAGCAUACCAUGACAAAGCCUUGCCACCUUCCUACAGCCCAAACUAGGCAUCCAACUAUUGGCCACCCCCUAGGUUAAAAGGUCUCGUGGAAGCAUAUAUUCUGGCUUGAUCGGGACCCAUGUCCUGCUUGGCCAGGAUGUUUCGUGUGGCUGGGAUUCACAUCCCACACACACCACAAUGCCAAUUCUUAUGUCUAUGGGAGUGGGUUCCCAAGAGAAGCAGGUAGGAGAUUUGAAAGUACUUUCAUAACAUGGAGUUUCAGUGCCCUAUGAUCUACAAAUCACUAUGGUUUUCAACAUUGACAGUGCUGAUAUUAGUGCAUUCCUUAAAAGGAUUAAGGCUAACUGACAUAUUGCGUGGGGAUUUUGUCAAGUUCUUUCGAAAAAAUCGCAUGUUCUCAUUCUUCUAGAUUAACUAGGUAGUAUAAUUUAGAACACUUCUAAUUGCCAAUGCUGGAUUAGUCCUUGAGGCUGUGUUUGGUUCCUGAAUAAUUUUAACCAACAUAUUUGAAUAACUUUAUUGGAAUAGGUACUCAUUCCUUGUCAAUUAGCUAAAAUUAUUCGGCCUCCCCUCAUUGAAUACCUUGAACCAGGUCAUAACUGAAUAAGUACCAUAAUGAUGCUUUUCAGCUUUUUUGAAAUCCAAAAUGUGUUCCUCAUUAUUGGGCUUUAGUCAAGAGCCAAACUGGUGUUUGACUGAAUAAACCUGAAUGAGGCUGAAAAAGUGAACUUCAUUGAGAUUAAGUAUGUUUAUUCAGGAACCAAACAGCACCUAAAACUUGCUGAUUCUAAGCUAGCUUUCCGAGGAAGUGGAACCUGGACUUGGGAAAUGUUGGCUGCCAAUCUGGUGCUUAACCAACUUCCAAGUGUAUAUCCAUGGUUGGUGGACAUUAGAAAAAAAACUGAUAUAUGGAUUCAACGAUGCCGAGCAUCUUGGACAGUCAGGGGAAGCUAUGCCUAGAUGAGCAAUUGUAGCUCUGGUUGGUAGGCCCAUCUAGCAUACUUGGCACACAAAUGUAAGCACUCUCAAAACUGCACCAAUGUACCGUGUCCACUCUGUUGAUCCUCUCUUCUUGUAAAAGCCUUCCCUUGCUUGUUUAUGUACAGACAAAGGGUUGCAGAGUCUGUAGCUAGGUACCCAAUAUUAUUGGUCUCUUGCCACUAUAGUGACAUAAGGUAAUUAAUAAUUUUGCUGCAGCAGGUGUUAUGGUAGGAGCAGGCUGAUGGGUUGCUCUUUCCGACACUUAUCGUAUGUCAAUAUCUUAUCCACCUACUGAAAUUUUAUUGAUCAAAUCCAUAUUCACCAGCAUGAUCAACUUGUUAGAAAGCGAACAACCAAAACAAACACGGGAUGAUACACUAAUCUUGUCCCUGCCCCCACAAUACAGUGAAAAAUAUUACUGACAAAGUUGUAGUUUCUGCUAUCUAAUUCCAAACUGGGGUUGCACCUGGUGGAGAUGGUUACAUGGAUCUGCUUUAUUAAACAAAUAUGUCACUGAGGGUGGUUGUGCCAUGGAACCUAUGCACCUGUGAUUUGGUUUACACAACAAAAAUCACAGAACAAGCCUUGCCAUAAUGUGCAAAAUCAUCUACGAAUAUUAUGAAGUCCAACAGGAUAACACAACAACUAUGAUUACUAAAUACAAUUAUGCAUCAGCUUGAAAUGUAAAAGCCAGGAAUAAAAUAGUUGUCAAUAAACCAUAUGAAGUGUAUCAUACACGUGUAAAAACUAAUCUUGGAUGAAGAAGUUCCAUACUUCAAAUAUGAACUGUAACAGAAUACAAGCUGUAAAGUAGGCAAGUGGACAAUUAUUGUCUAUUUUCUUGUGAGAAUUUCAUCAAACAUUUCUACAAUGAGUGGCUGGUAGCUGUUUUUUGUCUUUGUAUUAGAUGAUAUACUGUUUAGUACAUCCUGAUCUGGUUUAAGUGUAUUAAUAAGAUAAUUAGGGGUUUUAGAUUAUCCAUGUCAGGUAUCUAUCAUAUCAAGCUAUCAUAUUUAUAGAACAACUUCUGGAUAUUUGCAUGUCAACCCCUGUAAUUGUCUUAGUUGUUGCAAAUUCUUUUUUAAAAUUAAGAAACAUUUGCCAAGAGCAAUAUUUAAAGAAGGCACUUUAUGCUUUAAAGAAGACAUUUAGAAGUAUACUUAGAGAAGCAUUGGUGAGGAAAAAGGAUUCCAAGAGAAGGCACUCAAUGAAAAAAGAGUAAAUGCCAAGAAAGGCAGUAUUGGAAUGGGCAUCCGUGCUGGUGUGAAUCGACAGGCAAAAUCAGAAGGGGGGGGGAGGCAGGGGUGGUAGCAGGAAUAGGGCGAGGGAGAGACCUCUCCCCCCCUCCCUUGCCCCUGUUUCAGCCACCACCGACCACCAUCAGUUUUUCGAUCCAAAAGGUGGAACCAUCUUGAUCCAUCGCCUGUACGGUUCGAUAUGCCCCGAACCGGGCAGUUCGAGAUGGUUCCAUCGGUGGCGUAAAUGCCUUAGGCACCUGAUCUCAGUUGGAGUGGCCUAAUCCAACGGGGAAACCAACUCGGUUGCCUCUCCAUUUACGACCUAAUUCCUCCACUACUUAACUAUUAAGGUUUAGUGGUGGUUAGUAGAAUUGUCUAUACACAGUUUUAUGUUUUAGAGGGGUCAGUAUGGCAAAGACUAAUCUUUUUAGGGUUCGUAUAUAAGAUUAUUCAAGGUUGUAUAUGCAAAAAUCAAAGUUAUUUGAUAAAUUUAGAAUUUAACAAGUACAAUAAUAUUUGAUCUUGUUUUAUCUUUAAAGUCAACUUUCUUUAUCGUUCCUGUUUUUGGUUUUUUGGGGUCUGUUACAUUGCUAAUAUCAGACUUGUCAUGAUAAAGCAUAGUCAAGUUUUCAUUGGUGACAACACUCAUAUGGUGCAAAAGGUCUUCUUUAAGGCUGCUUCUUUUAAAGCAAGAAAUGUGCCAAACUCAACAUUCCCUAUGGAUUUAUCCUUUUCUUUUUUUUUGCCUUUUCUUCAAUUUCUUACUAUAACAUGAGACAAGUCCAUCAACUUCAAGAACAUAUCCAGAUAAAGAAUUAUCAUCUAAAUCAGCAGCAGUCAUUCCACAUUCAGUUAUGAACUCUCUGUCCAAGACAUUGUUACCUUGCUUCUACUGUUCUGCAUGUUUUUGCAGUUUUGUGUGGGUGUAUGUAUAUAUAUACACACUGCUCAACUUAGACAUGAGUGAGCUAUCACCCAUUGUUUGUUUAUUUUUAGGGUCAUUGCCCAGUAGUUUUUUGCAUUGCAUGCUUGAAUUCUGGCCAACAUUUUUUUCUCAACUGUAUGGUAUCAAAGUCACAAGACCUCUGAUGUAGGUGCAUCCUUUGGUUGAUAAGGCUGCAAACAAAAGUCCAACAAUCCAAGCUUAUUUUCUGCUUCAUUUGAUGGAGAAAUUGUUUAGGAGGUCUGGUUUCUGAAUUUUCUUUCUUUCAUUAGUUGCUGGGUUUUGACGGGAAAGUAUUCAGCAAUUUUACUGUUCACAACUUCGUAGCACAAAUAAUACAUGCUGGUAUGCUACACUAACUGUUGUCAGCAUAUAGUGGUUUUCCUAUUUUGUUUGUAGAGUGCUAAUUGGACUAGGCAAUGUUCUGGUUGGUUAUUAACCAUUAUAAGAGGGUUACUCCUGGCUGUUAGGGUCAGUUCCUUUGGAGUUGAUUUUGAAGAGGAUAGUAAGGACAAGGCCUGGUAUGGCUGUUUCCCUUACUCUGCUAUUCUUCCCAAACACCUGCACCCCACCCUCCCCCCCCCACCACCAAAAAAAACCAACAACCACAAAAAUAGAAAGAAAAAAAAAAAGAAAAAUCCUCACUUUUGUUCUUAUUUCUUUUCUAUCCUGUUUUAAAAUCUUUUCUUUUCCUAUGGUUUAUGUGAUGUUUUAAUUCAGUAAGCUUUAAAAAGAAAAAGGAGGAGGAAGAAGAAAGGAAGAUCUAUUCUUCUCUCCCCCUCUGGUACAUUGUCCUUAACUGUUGAAUAUAUGCUAGGUAAAUCAGAUCUGGGCUGGGAUUAGAUCUAAACACUUCUGAAAUUUAAUUUCAUUGUUCCUAUGAUCCCCUGAUAACCCCUAGACAGCUGGACUUUAGUUCUGACAUUGGGGAGAACUAGAUUUAUGUUUUCUUUCCCUUCCCCCUCAAUUUCUGGAAUCUGUGCACUGUUUCACAAACUUAUACACAUCAGCCCUUUAAGCCUUGGUUUUGGAUUAUCGAAACCCAAGAAGCCCUUUUCUUAUUUGUUUAAAACCUGAAGCCAUCCAUUUCAAGGGUCACUGUUGCACAUAAGCAACUCUAACAUCAAGUGUCCUACAUCAGUUGCAAAAAGGGCUGAGUUGAAAGCUUAAAAGUACUUAUGUAUGGGUUUUGAAACCAUCCAUUUGGUCUCCACUAUAGUAUGUCAUUGUCAUGAAAAGAUCUAUGAGAUGUUAGCUGCAGACAAUAAUUUGUUAGCUACUACUUUGGCUUUUCUGUAUGUUAUCUGACCUAUUUUUCUGCAGUGUGAGCAUUGUCUUUUCCCAAUUCAUAUUUUAUAUGCUUAAUCAACCUAUUAGGCCACUUGAUCUUACAUCCAUGCAAUCCAUUUUUCUGAAUAAUGUAUUUUUUAAUGAAUUCUUGUUAUUCUCGAACCUGGCCUCAAAACUAGGUUAUAAAAAAUUCAUGUUAAUAUGAUGAACUUCUAUAAUUCACGGAGCCUGUGACACUACAUAAGAAGGAAUAUGAGGACAAAGAUUUACAUAUUUGACUUAAAAAAUAUAUCAAUUUUAAUUAAUAAAAAUUGUGAGUCUAGUUUCAACUAUUAUUUGACAAGUUGACUUCCAAACUUUGUAGCUCACAGAGGCUCUCCAAACAACAAGACUUCUAUCCUUGCUUCAGUUCAAGAAACUCUGGUCCUCAGUCUCGUGAUACUCCACCAAAGAGAGGUGUGUUCUAUUGCCAAAUAAUUUAGCUGAUAAUAUUUAUAUGAAUUUGUUAAAAAGGCUCCAAAACUACGGUAUAUGCUUUCAUGUAGGGAAUUGGUUCCAGCGAGAGCCAUUUAUGCAUAAGCCAGCAACACGCACAUCUUUGUGCCAUAUUUUUCUUGUCAAAGGAAAAAGCUCCACCGAUUGUUGCUACACUAUUUAAAAUUUCUUCUUCUAUCACUUAUAGUUUCUAAGGAAAUACAUUUGCUUCUUUGACAUCUUCCUUAUAGACACUGGUAUUGCUAGUGAGAAGGAAUGGGGGAUCAACCUGCUAGAUGAAAAGGUCGACGAGUCUGGCACCAAUGAAGAUGGUAGUACAUGGUACCAGGAAAGUGGAGCAGAUCUUGGUGAUAAUGGAUACAGACAUCGUUGGGCCAGGAUGGGAGGCCAAUCUUGUGAUGGUUCCUCAGAAUGGAAAGAAACUGUAUGUUUUUUCUACUUCGCUGUUUUGACCAUUUCCCAAAUGAAAGUAGUUUUAAUUACACAUUCUUUGCCUAGGGAGCAACAAUGUGGCAAUUAUGUUAAGGACUGACCGCAUAUUGUUUUUAUAUUUUAAGAGUUCUUUUUUUUUAAAAAAAAGAAAUGAACUGUGAUAUUUUUGACCCUUUCAAAUGACAUGAAAUUUAAUAUUUCUAUUUUGGGAUACAUAGCAUUGAUGUUUUUUUGUCAGUUUUUGCCUAUCCAAACAUUCAAGGAGUCAAAUAUAAACCAUACAAUUUUUUUAAAAAAAUUUUCCUAUGAUGCAUAAAUUCUUCUUUUAUCAUUUGACUGACACUGUUUUCUCCUAGAAGGAUAUUAACUUCUUUUAAGGCUUAUAUAAUGAUUUUGCAUUUUAUGCUUUUCUCUUGUAUAGAUGGUGGCAUGCUUACCACCUUGGUGACCUUGACAUGUGUGCAUGGCUCAGACUAAUGUCAGAAUUAAUUAUAGCCAAUAACUGGAACCUUCUAAAAGUGACUUGGUAAUUGGAUCUUCUCAAUACCUUGGAUAGAAAACAACCAUGCUGAUUGUUCUGGUGUACAGUUUGCUGAAUCCAGCAGCUAAAGAGCUAACAUCAGCAUCCAGACAUUCCUGAAGCAUCACUGGAUUGCAAAUUUUCUUUGAAGGUUUUCUUGCUUAUUCACUCUUCUCUUUGGGUAGAACCCAACUGUCAAUUUGGCAGGUCAGUUCUCUGCAGUUGCGCCAGUAUUCAAAUGCACUGUUGCAGCUUGAUCUCUCUUAUCAUUGGACCACCAAACUUGGAUUGGAGGUCCCUUUCUAGUUGCUGAAUCAUCCCAUAUAAUAUUAUGACGUUUCUGACUUGAAAGAUGGACCUGAACUGGACUGGCUGUCUAUUAAACCUAGUUGUUCAUUUUAGGUAGGCCAUUGUUUGGGUGUAUGUUUUCAGUGCUGAAAUUUACCAUUUGAGUGCUUUCUUGUCAAAUUAGUCUGUUGUUGCAGUGUAUAGGAUUCCAAUUCUUCUAGGCUUUUAAGUCAGCUUUCCUAUCUGUCUCCCCUUUUGAUCUCAAAGGGCUGUUUUUUUGGUCCAUCUUUAUUAUUCCACUACAUUCGAUUUCAUUUAGGUUAUCUUAGUUCGGAUGUGUUUCUGGAUCUAGGUGGAGGGUUUUAACUUGCCUCUCUUUUUUUAGUCCUCCUCAAUGUACACCAAGUUUUUGAUUACUUGUUACCAUGUUUAAUCAGUCUAACUUUAUGUAUGACUGUGAAGCAUGAAGGACUAUUAAACUGUCAUAUCCAAGGUUCAUUGAAUCGGUACCGGGACCUGACAUGGUAUAGCGAGGCAUGUCGGCUCUAAACUGACUCACCAAUUUUCUUUUUUUGUUGUUGUUUUUUCAAUUUUUUUUGGCUUUCAAGAUCUCUAAUCAAUUUUUUUUUUUGGUUCUUGAAUGGUUUUAAGCCCAAAUUAAUAUUUAUUGAUGUUCUUUGAUGUUUCUAUCAUUUCGGUACAUCCUUAAUGAUGCUUCUAAAUAUAUAGGCUUAGAUCUUUCUAUGUUAACAUGGCAUUACCUAGAAUAUAACAAAAGAGAUGCCCUAUGUAGAUCCCAAGUCUUGGAAGGUGGAAGCCAAUGAUGUGGUGGUGGAUUUGAACCGACGUGAUGCAGAUUUGAGCCUAAUAUGAUGCUUUGCUCAAGGGACAGUCUUACAAGAACCAGCCUAAAGACAACCUUAAAAAGGACUAGGUAUUAUUGAAUCCUAAUAUGGUCAAAGCAAUUAUGAGAUACAAAAUAUAAAAUGAUACAAUCAAUUGCAUAUAAUUAAAGUAUAUAUAUCGAGAUCUAGAAUCUCGUUGAGUGCCGAUGUUGCUCAUAAAUAUCCGUAUCAUUUGCAUAAUCAGGAGAUACAUGAGCUCAUCUCACUAACCAAGCAGCACUGUGGUCUUAUAUAGUCAUUGUAUAAGGUAUGCAUAUUAGAUUGUAACUGGUAUCAGAUCUCUUGCUGAAGAUCCGGCUCUAAGAGGUGUCCUCCGACUGAUAGGGAAGAUAUGGAGGGGUCCAUUUAAAUAUGUUGAUAGCAAAAUCCGAUCCAUAAGAUACUCCAGACUACGUAGUAUAGUAGGCACUAGAAGAUUGUUUUGGAGGCACCAUAUCCAUAUCUGUAUGGAUCAUAAGUUGCUUAUGGCUGUGGGUAGUAUAAUUCGAAAAAUAUGAGGAUGAAUCUGAUACAUCCAUAGAUCUUACUCCAUGUGUAAAGUCGUCUACAACUGUAUUGUAUCCUAAAUGACCUAGAAGAGCUCGUCGCUUAUAUACAAUCGUAUUCUUGUGGACUCUACUAACUCAUGUAUUGUUGGCAUGUGUAAACUGGGAGUCACCUAUGAAUCCAAGACCAUCCUAUGGUGGUAUCUUAUAAAUGGUGGUCUCCUAUCUUCCAUUCACUCUUUGACAACCAGAUCUAUGACCAUUAGAACUAUCAUCACUGCUCUUAUUGAUCUCUAACUUUGAGUGAAGUGACUUCUUCACUCUUUCCAUCGGAGCUGCAACUAUCUUUUUUUCUUUGUUUUUGCGUUGAACAGCUACCUGCAUUCACUUUGUGCACUGCUUUAGCUGGCUAUGCUAAAAGAAUGGAUGUCAUCCUACUAUUUGAGAUGACCAAAUAUCAUGGUAGCCUCGUCUAAACAUCUAUCAUCAAAUCUCUAGAAGAAUGUCUUGAACAUGGACUCGUGUGAUGAAUGACUCCCUAAUGACCUCUUUGGCUGUGGCUGAUCAAUUGAAAGUCUGCAUGAAAUGUUGCUACUUGCCCAUCGCUCAGCAUCCUCCCAUCUCACUAGCUACAAAACUGGUUGGUCGUGGAGACGAUCCUGGCUCAUUAAACUUCGAUUCCUAUUGUUAGCCCACAAGCUAUCAGAUCAUUGGAUCUUCAUCAUCAUGAAUAAAAACAUCCAUCGUCGGAUCUAAGUACUUCAGCUCAACUUUCUCCUGAAUUCAUUCAGCCUCCAUCUUAGAUUGUAGUGAACACAUACAAGAUUGUUGAGGCAUCUCUAUAUCAGAUGGUUCCUCUACUUGCUAUAAAUGAGAGCAAAGAUCGAUAAGUGUGCUCAUAGCCACUCAAGGAGACCAUCUGGAAGAGGAUCCGAAUGGCAACUUGCUUCCGAUUUCUUGCCAAUAAAUCAAAAUGAAUCCACCAUUUAGGCCGUAAAACAUUGAACAGAAUUAUGUAUAAGAUGGUAUCAUAUUAGUAGCUAUGUAAUGUCAUAUAAGAAUUAUGACUAUUGAUAUCUAAUUUAUCUGGAUUCAUCUUUUCUUUACUUACAAUAGCUGCCUAGCCUUCACAGCUUCAGUGCCCUCCCUAAAUAUUUUUGUUUAUGAAAAAUAUAUGUUAUUGAUAGAAGGGAUAAAUUUGCUAUAUUACUUGAUAUACAAAUACGUUACAGGAUGCCUCCUUAUAUAUACGAGGAAAAUCAAGUCAGGCAAGUGCUAAUCUAUGCCUACUCAUAUACUUAUACACAACCUAUGUACAUCUCAUCUAAAUCUUACUAGAAAGGAAAGCUAGCUAGGUGUAUUUUGACACCCCUGUACAACUCACCCAAAUCUUAUUGAAGAGGAAAGCUAGCUAGGUGUAUCUUGACAACAGCUAUCUAACAUUCCCCGCAAGCUGAGCAUCUGAUGGAUGGAUGUGAAGAUUAGUGUAAAGAGUAUGAAAGUGCGAUGUAGAUAGUGGUUUAGUGAAGAUAUCAGCCAAUUGCUUUGUCAGAGAAAAUAUGAAACAUGGAUAGCUCGCCACACUGCAGUUUCUGCUGAAGAAAAUGAUGAUCAAGUUCAACGUGGUUAGUGCGAGCAUGGAGAACAGGAUUGACGACAAGGUAGGUUGCACUGAGGUUGUCACAAUAUAACUGGAUUGGGUGUGACAAGAAGCAUCCCAAAUCAUGAAGAAGACGAUGGAUCCAAACUGUUUCAGCAAGUGCCAAAGCCACAGCACGAUAUUCGGCCUCAAUACUGGAUUUGAAAAUAGUGGGUUGUUUUUUGGCAGACCAAGAAAUGAGAUUGGGCCCGAGAAAAAGGCAAAAUCCAGCAGUGGAACAUCGGGUAUUAGGACACCCAGCCCAAUCAGCAUCGAAUAAGCAAUAAGUGAUGGAUUUUGACACCGAGAGAAAUGUAAUUCAUAGCUGAGUAUACCACGAACAUAACAGAGGAUUCGCUUCACAGUUUGAAGAUGUGGUUCAUGCAGCGCAUGAAGAAAUUGAGCUACCAGAUUCAUAGCAUAAGAUAAGUUAGGCCGGGUGAAGGUAAGGUACUAUAGGGCCUCAACAAUUUGACGAUAUUCAUACGGGUCCAAGAGAGGCUGUCCUUUAUGAAUGGAUAGAUGUGUGCUACAAGAGAGUGGUGUGCUGACAGAUUUGCAAUCCUUCAUACCAUGGCGAGAAAGUAACUCCAUAGCAUACUUGCCUUGUGAGAGAUGAAGACCUGAAGAACUAGACUUAACCUCAAUUCCUAAGUAGUGAAGUGAUCCAACAUCCUUCAUAGCAAACUCAGAUUGAAGAGAGGCAAUGAGAGAGUCCAAAAGAGGGCCAGAACUAUCUGUGACUAUAAUAUCAUCCACAUACAAGAGUAGUAUUAAGGUGCCAUGAGUACUGGAAUGAACAAACAUGGAUGCAUCUGCAGCACUAGAACGAAAGCCAAGCUCAGCAAGAAAUGAGGUAAACCUCUGAAACCAGGCACGAGGAGCCUGCUUGAUACCAUAAAAGGCUUUUUUGAGUCUACAAAGGUAAUGCAGAUUAGCAGCAUCACCAAAUCCUGGAGACUGUCUCAUAUAGACCUCCUCCUGAAGAAUGCCAUGAAGGAAGACAUUGUUGACAUCAAGUCAUCGAAGGGGCCAACCUUACGAUAAUUGCAUAGAGAGAACUGUAUGAAUAGUAAUGGCCUUAACAACAGGAGAGAAGGUUUUCUCAAAGUUAAUACUUUGUUGCUGCUUAUAUCCUUGUGCCACAAGGCGAGCUUUAAGACGCUCAAGUGAACCAUCAGCCUGAGUUUUGACUUUAUAGACCCAUGUGCAUCCAAUAACGUUAGCAUGGGAUGGAGGAGGAAUAAGGUCCCAGGUUCAGUUUGAAAUCAAAGCAUCAUAUUCUUCCUACAUAGCAACGACCCAACCAGGGUGCUGAGAAGCCUCUUUGAACGUCGAUGGUUCCUGCAGAAAAUCAGAACUAGAAGAUAUAAGCAAUGCAGAGGGGUUAGCCUGAGAAGAGGACUGAUGUCUAAGAAUCAUAUGGUGCGAGCAUUGUAGAAUAGGACGAGGUUGUCUAGGAGGUUUAGGGUCAGCAGCAACAUUGGAUUAGGUAGAAUUUAUUUAGGGGGGUGUGGGAAUUAGAGUAGAUUUAGGAGUCCGUGCCCGAGUGCGUUGAUACAUAAUCCGAACCGACGGCCGAUCCACAUGACUACCAACAGGAAUCUUUGCAGAACUGUUAGUAUCCACAGUAGGAGCAGGAGAACAAGUAGCAACAGUACUGGGUGAAUCUAGGGCUAGGCCAGAUGCAGAUGCAGUGAUGUUGUCAUUGAUAUCAAACUGUGAUAUGUGAAAUACUAGCUCAGAAAUGGAGCGGGCAAUAGAGGGAUCUAAAUCAUGUUGUGGAUGUGAGACAAACAAAUUCAGUUUAUUUAAGUCACCAGCAAUAGGCAUGUCAUGUGAUUACUUUGAAAAGGACUGUAAACAAGUGUAGGGAAAUACAGACUCAACAUACACAACAUGACGGAAAAUGAGAAUUUUACCAGAGGGAGGAUAUAAACAACGAAAUCCCUUGUGAUGCUCAGAAGGGCCACAAAAAAUACAAGGCAGAGACUGUGGAUGGAGCUUAUGCGAUGCAAUAUCCUGAAUGUUCAGAUAAUAAAGACAUCCAAAAACUCUGAUAACAUUCACAUUAGGAGGAGAAUAUCCAUGUAACUUUUGAUAAGUAGUGGAGCCAUUCAAAACAGUGAAUGAUGGAGUGUGAUUUAAAAAAAAUACAGCAUAGUAUAGGGCUUCAGCCCAAAACCGCAUUGGCAUGGCAGAUUGAAAUAAAAGAGUGCGAAUAGCAUUUGCUAUGUGUCUAUUUUUGCGCUCAGCAAUGCCAUUCUGCUGAGGCGUUUAAGGAUACGAUAAUCGAUGAAAAAUACCAUUGGCACUCAGAAAAUCAAUAAAAAUCUUAUUAACUAACUCUUUUCUCCCAUCAAAAUGAAAGUAGCAAAUAUUUGCUUUGUAAAUAUUUUUUAACAUGGCAUGAAAUUCAAUAAAUUUAUUAUAAACUUCAUGUUUAAAUUUAAGAGUAUGUACCUAGACGUAUCAAGAAAAAUCAUCAACAAACAACACAUAAUACCAAUAUCCAGAGGGAGAAAGAACAUGUGAUUGCCAAACAUUAGAGUGAAUUUGUUCAAAUGGAUAAGAAGAUUGUGAUUGAGAAACACUAAAUGGUAAUUUGACAUGCUUUCCAAGAUGACAAGCAUUACAAUUAUUGAAUUGAACAGACUUAACAGAUGCAUGUGAAACAUUAUUAAUAUCUUUUAAGAAACGAAGCAAAACAUCAUUACUGGGAUGACCUAAUCUCCUAUGCCAAAGUUCAGGACUCAACUGGAGUUACUGGAUAGCUGCUAAUGCUAUCUUAUUCCUAACAUCGACAGUGGAAACUUGAGAAGCAAUAGGGUAAAGUGACGACCCAGGAUUAUUGCACCGAAGAAGCUCCUUGUUCUUAGAUCCUUCACAAAAAAACCAAAUGAAUCAAAUUUCAUAGAACAUUUAUUAUCACGACAAAAUUAUCGAACAGAUAAAAAAUUUUUCUUAAUGGAAGGAACGACUAAAAUAUUAUGCAAAAGAAAGUUAGUAUGAGGUGUAUGCAGCCUAGAUUCACCAACAGCAUGAAUAGCAAUUUGUUCUCCAUUUCCUACUAGAACACGAUCACUACCGUGAUAAGGUUGAGUGCGAAAGUAUACCUGAAGUGGCAGUCAUGUGGUUCGUCGUCCCUGUGUCAGGGUACCACACCUCUUAGUCAGACUCAUCUUGUGAAAUACUCAUGGUAGCAAAGGAUUGUGGUAUAUCAUAGGAUAUAUAAUUAUGAUUAAAGCAUUGUCUACACUGAAGUGUUGUAUGAUUAAAUUUACCACAUAUCUGGCACAUGGGGCCAGAUUGCUUCUGAAAGAGGGAAGGGUUAGGAGGAGGUCUGGGAGAUGGUGUGGCUCGAUAGUGUGGAUGUUGCUAUUAGUAGUAGUUGGGCUGAACACCAUAUUGAUAGUUAGUCAUUUAUCUUGGUCCCUGGCGUCGUCCUCCACGAUCGCCUCUGCCUCCACGAGAUUGAUCUCUGCGGCCACCCUGAUUGCCUGGCUGACCACCACCACAUGCAGCCACAAAGGCAGUAGAAUGGCCAGUGGGAGGAGCGGAACUGCGAAGAGUACUAAAGCACUGAUUCUGCUGUUUCUCUUGAAGAAGUAGCAGGCGAAGCUCCUCAAGAUCAGAAAGAUUACCACGUGUAGUAACAGUGGUAAUGAAACCCCUAUACUCCUUGGGAAGACCAUGAAGAGUAGCCAUCACAAGCAUACGAUCUGUCCCAUGACCACCAAUGGAGCGAAAACUCUGACCAAUAUCCUUAAUUUUUAAGAUAUAGUUAGAGACAGACAUUGUGCCCUUCUUCAAAAGGUGAAGCUCACUCUCCAACUGGAACUCCAUAGCGGUGGUCUUGUCACCAAAGUGCUUCUCAAUGGCAAGCCAAAUGUCCCUAGUAGUGUUCUCAGUAUCAGAAAGAAUAUGUUGAAGCAUGGUAGGGGACAUGGUGGUAGCGAGCCACAACUGAACAGUGCUGUCCUUCUCCUGCCAGGUCUCAAAUAUCGGAUUAGGAAGAUAAUUUUUUGAAUCAUCUUCAAUAAAUGCAGGAGGUGGGAGGUUGGUACCAUUCACAUGUCCUAACACCUUAAAGGUAGAAAGAACAUUCGAAAAAACCUUCUUCUAAAGUAAGUUGUUCUCAGUCAGCUCGAUAGUGACAAGACUCUUGAUGUUGAUGACCGAAAGAGCCGUAAUAGUGGAACUAGAAGCCAUGGUCGGGAUGGAAUGGCACGGCCCGGGGUGAGUGUGGCAUGGCGGCAUAGCAGGGAUCUGGGGCGUGAGCCCUAAAGCUCUGAUACCAUGAUAGAAGAGAUAAUUUGCUAUAUUACUUGAUACAUAAAUAUGUUACAGAAUACCUCCUUAUAUACACAAGAGAUAAACCAAAUCAGGCAAGUACCAACCUAUGCCUACUUAUAUACAACUUAUACAUAACCCAUGUAUAUCUCAUCCAAAUCUUAUUAUAAAGAAAAGCUAGCUAGGUGUAUCUGGACAUCCAUAUACAACUCACCCAAAUCUUACUGAAGAGGAAAGCUAGCUAGAUGUAUCUUGACAAUAGCUGUCUAACAAUUAUAAUAUGUUACUAGUUGAAGAUUGGGCUAAGUUAAUAAAAACAUGCCAUUUGAUCUAAUUUAUCUCUUCUAGACACAAAACUGCGAUUUUUGGAAUGGGCUCUAUCUUGUAUAUCAUAUUGCGUAGGGCAGUCAGAAACUCCUCGUCUAUGUCUAUCUCAAGUAUGGGUUACUAGAAUCUUGGAUUCAGAUAGUAAGCUAUAGAUAAAUUUUGUAAUUAUUUAAGUUGUACAAAUACAAGAGCAGUUAAAUUUUUAGAGUAUUUUUAAUGUUUUGCCUUAUUUGCUAGAUGCGAGUUCCUACUCAUUUGGGAGUCUCACCAUUGCUUAAUAACUUGGAUGUACUCUUAGGUAUGUUUUGGAUUUGCCCUCUCCAUCAUAUGAUAUAAGAAGCUCAUCUGGGGGUGUCUCUCACUGUUCACGCUCCUUACCAAAAUGUCUGCUUUGUCACUAUAUUCUCAAUAGUACUCUCCUUCCUCCCC
rnacentral:lncRNA from 1 species